AGAGUUUGAUCCUGGCUCAGAAUCAACGCUGGCGGCGUGCCUAACACAUGCAAGUCGAACGAGAAAGUGGAGCAAUCCAUGAGUAAAGUGGCGCACGGGUGAGUAACACGUGACUAACCUACCCUUGAGUGGGGGAUAACCUGGGGAAACCUUGGCUAAUACCGCAUAACACCUACGGGUCAAAGGAGCAAUUCGCUUAAGGAGGGGGUCGCGGCAGAUUAGUUAGUUGGCGGGGUAAUGGCCCACCAAGACAGUGAUCUGUAUCCGGCCUGAGAGGGCGCACGGACACACUGGAACUGAAACACGGUCCAGACUCCUACGGGAGGCAGCAGUGGGGAAUUUUGCGCAAUGGGGGAAACCCUGACGCAGCAACGCCGCGUGGAGGAUGAAGUCCCUUGGGACGUAAACUCCUUUCGACCGGGACGAUUAUGACGGUACCGGAAGAAGAAGCCCCGGCUAACUUCGUGCCAGCAGCCGCGGUAAUACGAGGGGGGCGAGCGUUGUUCGGAAUUAUUGGGCGUAAAGGGUGCGUAGGCGGUUCGGUAAGUUUCGUGUGAAAUCUUCGGGCUCAACUCGAAGCCUGCACGAAAUACUGCCGGGCUUGAGUGUGGGAGAGGUGAGUGGAAUUUCCGGUGUAGCGGUGAAAUGCGUAGAUAUCGGAAGGAACACCUGUGGCGAAAGCGGCUCACUGGACCACAACUGACGCUGAUGCACGAAAGCUAGGGGAGCAAACAGGAUUAGAUACCCUAGUAGUCC
rnacentral:rRNA from 1 species